GGAAGAUAAUAACAAUGACUAGAAAUCAAAAAUUUAUCAUGGCUGCCUUUGUCGUAGUUCUUCUAUUCUCAACAGGUAUGGCCCUUCCAAAUACAACAUUGAAAUGUUUUUCUGAAUGUAAGCAAUAUAAAGAUUGUCAUUCCUUUUGUUCUAGACAGGGUUACACGUAUGGAAAGUGUUAUGUUAAUGAACGUAGAUUAGCUUGUUGUUGUUUCAAUUUUGUUGAUGACAAAGUUGAUAGUUAGAGAUUUUCUUCUUAUUUAAAGAAAAUAUUAUUAUUUAUAAAUACGAGUAUAAUUUUUAAGAAAUAAAACAUGAAAUGACAAUCUUGUCAUGACAUACAAAACAUACAUGUUGAAGCAAAAAAAUUAUUAUUGGACGAUGUACAAAACAUCCAAUAAUAAAUAUAAGUAAACUUUAUUAUUGGAUGUUUUUCUUUUGAAUUAACCUUUUAUGUUGCAAAACAUGCAUGUUCUUUUA